GACGGAACGCUGGCGGCGUGCUUAACACAUGCAAGUCGAACGGAAAGGCCCUGCUUUUGUGGGGUGCUCGAGUCGGCGAACGGGUGAGUAAACACGUGAGUAACCUGCCCUUGACUUUGGGAUAACUUCAGGAAACUGGGGCUAAGUACCGGAUAGGAGCUCCUGCUGCAAUGGUGGGGGUUGGAAAGUUUCGGCGGUUGGGGAUGGACUCGCGGCUUAUCAGCCUUGUUGGUGGGGUAGUGGCUUACCAAGGCUUUGACGGGUAGCCGGCCUGGAGAGGGUGACCGGCCACAUU
rnacentral:rRNA from 1 species